GGCUCCAUAGUGUAGUGGUUAGCACGUCUGCUUUACACAUAGAAGGUCCUGGGUUUGUACCCAGGUGGAGCCA
rnacentral:tRNA from 1 species